rnacentral:rRNA from 1 species
GACGAACGCUGGCGGCGUGCUUAACACAUGCAAGUCGAACGGGCCCGCUCUCUUUUUUGGGGGUGGGUUGAGUGGCGAACGGGUGAGUAUCACGUGAGUAACCUGCCCCCUGCUCCUGGAUAACUGCUUGAAGGGGCGGCUAAUACGGGGUGUGCCGGCUGGUCCGCAUGGGCCUGGUCGGGAUAGUUUCAUCUUCGGGUGUUUCGGUGGGGGAUGGGCUCGCGGCCUAUCAGCUUGUUGGUGGGGUGAUGGCCCACCAAGGCGGUGACGGGUAGCCGGCCUGAGAGGGUGGGCGGCCACACUGGGACUGAGACACGGCCCAGACUCCUGCGGGAGGCAGCAGUGGGGGGUAUUGCACAAUGGGCGGAAGCCUGAUGCAGCGACGGCGCGUGAGGGAUGGAGGCCUUCGGGUUGUGAACCUCUUUCUCCGGUGGUGAAGGCCCUGUCCGUUGCGGCGGGGUUGACGGUAGCCGGGUAUGAAGCGCCGGCUAACUACGUG